rnacentral:rRNA from 1 species
AGCGGCGGACGGGUGAGUAACACGUGAGUAACCUGCCUUAGACAUUGGGAUAGCCUCGGGAAACCGGGAUUAAUACCAAAUGAAAUCACAUAUGCACAUGCAUAAAUGAUCAAAGCUCCGGCGGUCUAAGAUGGACUCGCGUCCCAUUAGCUAGUUGGUGAGGUAACGGCCCACCAAGGCGACGAUGGGUAGCCGGCCUGAGAGGGUGAACGGCCACAUUGGAACUGAGAAACGGUCCAAACUCCUACGGAAGGCAGCAGUGGGGAAUCUUCCGCAAUGGGCGCAAGCCUGACGGAGCAAUGCCGCGUGAGUGAAGAAGGCCUUCGGGUUGUAAAACUCUGUCCUCAUCCAAGAGAGGGGAAGGUAGUAACUGACCUUUCCAGGACGGUAGAUGAGGAGGAAGCCCCGGCUAACUAUGUGCCAGCAGCCGCGGUAAAACAUAGGGGGCAAGCGUUGUCCGGAAUCACUGGGCGUAAAGGGCGCGCAGGCGGUCUGUUAAGUCAGAUGUGAAAGGUUAGGGCUCAACCCUGAACGUGCAUCUGAUACUGGCAGACUUGAGUAUGGAAGAGGUAAGUGGAAUUCCUAGUGUAGCGGUGAAAUGCGUAGAUAUUAGGAGGAACACCAGUGGCGAAGGCGACUUACUGGGCCAUAACUGACGCUGAGGCGCGAAAGCGUGGGGAGCAAACAGGAUUAGAUACCCUGGUAGUCCACGCCGUAAACGAUGGGUACUAGGUGUCGGAGGUUUCAAGACCGUCGGUGCCGCAGUUACACAUAAGUACCCCGCCUGGGGAUAC